UACGUAGGGUGCAAGCGUUAAUCGGAAUUACUGGGCGUAAAGCGUGCGCAGGCGGUUUUGUAAGUCUGAUGUGAAAUCCCCGGGCUCAACCUGGGAAUUGCGUUGGAGACUGCAAGGCUGGAGUCUGGCAGAGGGGGGUAGAAUUCCACGUGUAGCAGUGAAAUGCGUAGAGAUGUGGAGGAAUACCGAUGGCGAAGGCAGCCCCCUGGGAUAACACUGACGCUCAUGCACGAAAGCGUGGGGAGCAAACAGG
rnacentral:rRNA from 1 species